rnacentral:lncRNA from 10 species
CUUAACAAUUUACAGUCAUUAACUAAUACACAUCAUGAAAGUCUCUUUACCUUACAGCCUGAAAAAACUUACAAUUUUUCCUACUUAACCUUACCAACUGAGUAUUUCUACUUACAAAUAGACACAAUCAACUGAAUACAAGAAGGUCAGAAGCAAUGUUUUGAUGUAAAUGAGUGUGUACGUGUGAAAGUGUAUGUGUGUGUGUGAGUGUGUGUGUGUGUGUGUGUGUGUGUGAGAGAGAGAGAUCGCCCUGUGGAGAACUGUUUAAAAGGUCAUACUGAGUGAGGCAAUCACUAUUAGGGAAAUGUUCCAAACUGCUGACCCCCAAGAAGAAUUUUGUCUGCAGAUCUACAGAUGUGUUUUAUUUGGCACACACAGUGUUUAAAACAAACUUGAAUUAAUCACCACAUUUAAAAAAUGGGAAAUUUCUCUCAAAAAAAUUCCAUCUUCUCUGAAAAAAUCAGGAAAUAUAUCCACACUGGGCCCACAUGCUUGAGUGACAGAAGUCUGCUGUAGCCUAAUAGCAGCUGCUCCUUCUGAUGGGGGAUGAACCCUCCAGAUCUGUCAAUCCAAAUGUUCUAUUGCUAGUUGCAUUUGCCUUGUUAAGUUGUCCGGAGAUAUGUUAUUUCCUCAAUUCAAUUGUAAGUUCUUCAAUGUCAGAGAUUGUGUCUUAUGCUAGACAUAAUUUCCCUUUGCAGCACCUGUUUAUAAUCUCACAGUUCUGAAGGUCUGAACUUCUGAAAGUCUGAAGUCUAAAGCACCUUGACUGGAUUCUCUUCUCAGGGUCUCAUUAAACUUGAAUCAGCGUAUUAUAUCUGCUGGGGCUGUCAGCUAAGUCUCGGGGUCCACCUCCAAACUCACUGAUUGUUGGCAGAAGUGAUUUUCUUCGAAUGCUUUCCCCACAUUGUCCUCUUUACCAUCAAGCCAGCAACGGUGGGUCAGUGGGUUGAGUCUUUCUCGUGCUUUUAAUCUCUUUUUCCUUCGCUACCAGCCAGAGAAAGCGCUAUGCUUUUGAUGGCAGCUGUGGCCUAUCUAGAGCAGCUGCUGCCAUGACGCAGGUUGCAGUGGGGGAGGCGCGCAGGGGCUCCACAGAGCCACCUGGAGCCAGGAACAGGAGGGAUCCCCGCCCUUUUCUGAAUUGGAGGGUCGGGAGGCCAGCCCUCCCAGCUGCAGCCAACUAGUCUCAGCUACAGACCUGGACAUGCCUGCGCUAGGGGGCCCGGGAAGCCCCCUUCCCCUGCAGGCUCUGAAGUGCCUGCUCCUACUGCCUGGCCUCUCCCGGCUCCCGGUGCCCACUCCGAUUUUGGAGCAAAGUUGAGGCUGAGCCCGAGUGCUGUCACGAUCCUACUGGGUGUGCACGCACUCGAGCCAGCGCUGACACACCAGUCCCCCUGCCGCCUUGGCCCGUUCUAGGAUUUGGGACACCAAUGAGCAUGAGAGGGAGCUGAGGUGGGGGCUGAGGGCAGCUCAGCAUGGGCCUGCAGGCACCCCUCAGCGGGAACAGCCUGGGAAAUAUGGGCACCAUGGAGGGUAGGUUGAUGGCAGCAGGAGGCAGACAGGCUCCUGGGUGGAAAGGGGUGUGUCCCCAGUUAAGCCCCACCUUCAAGCUAGUGAGUGUCAGAAGCUUGGAGACUGAGCUGCCAGUUCCACUGCCCCGAGUAAGAACUUGUGGCUUUUUCCGGGACAGCCCAUGGCCACCCAUGGACCAAUCAGCAGGCACUUCUUCCCCUCUGAAGCCCAUAAAAACCCCAGACUUAGACAGACUGGCAGACGAUGGGACCACCUGCCUGCUGAUAGAAUCUACCCACUCCGGGUCUCCUGAGAACUCUUCUGGCUCUCAGUGAAGCUCCUCUCCACCUUGCUCACCCUCCAGUUUUCUGUGUACCUCAUUCUUCCUGGACACGGAACAAGAACUCGGAUUUGAUGAAAGGCAAAACUAAAAGAGCUGUAACACAAACAGGUCUGAACCCACCCCCCUCACUGACCCCCUCCACUCGACCAAGCUGCAGUGACGAGAAGAAGAGAAGAGCUAUGGCCCUUUGGGGAACCCAGACCUAGGGACAUCCUGAACCAGGGCUGUGACACCCUUUUUGAGGCUCUGUGGUUCCUGGUGUCUCCAAGCUUCCAGGCGCCACUGCAUUCUCCUUGUCCAGACGUGGGUGCAUGCAGCUUCUGUUCCCUUAUGCGUUCCCCACGUGGUCCUCUUUACCAUCAAGUCAGCAAUGGUGGGUCUGUGGGUUGAGUCUUUCUCAUGCUUUUAAUCUCUCAUUUCAGUUUUGCUACUAGUCAGAGAAAGAGCUAUACUUUUGAUGGCAGCAGUGACCUGUUUGGAGCGGCUUGCCACUCUGCACUUGGCUCACACUUGGCAGGUGUAGGAUCCAGGCCGUAGCACGACCCUGGUGUAGCCUGCAGGGCUGACUGGGCAUAAUGAGCCCAGGGGCAUGAGCAAUACGCAGGCCGACCAAUACUCAGACAGAAGGUGCACUGGCCACAGAGGUUUCUGGCUGGCGAAGCAACACCUGAAGGAUCUUGUGACACUUUUAAGGGCUUAUGUGAUUACAUUACAGACAUUGAAUAAUCCAUAAUAAUCUCCCUAAUUUAUGUAAUCUUAAUUAGAUUGUAAUCUUAAUUACAUUUUCAAAGUCUCUUUGAGAUGUAACAUAACAUAUCUAUGGGAGUAACACCACGUGCCAAAGGUCAUAGGGACAACCACAGUAACUUAAUAUUUUUUAAGAGGAAGCAUGAACAUGCUAGAAUGAAAAGUUCACUAAUUUGGAUUCUCGACUGGGCUUAAUUACAUACUACUCCUUUUAUAUGAGAAAAAUAAACACUCCAAGUAUUAUUUCUUUCACACUUUUUGAAAAACAAAAAAAGUGUGGCCUGAUUUAUUAAUGCUG